rnacentral:rRNA from 1 species
UACGUAGGGUGCGAGCGUUAAUCGGAAUUACUGGGCGUAAAGCGUGCGCAGGCGGUUCUCCAAGUCCGUUGUGAAAGCCCCGGGCUCAACCUGGGAAUGGCAGUGGAAACUAGGGGACUGGAAUCUGGCAGAGGGGGGUGGAAUGCCGCGUGUAGCAGUGAAAUGCGUAGAGAUGCGGAGGAACACCGAUGGCGAAGGCAGCCCCCUGGGCUAGCACUGACGCUCAGGCACGAAAGCGUGGGGAGCAAACAGG